UUUGGGAUAGGUCAGUUGGUAGAACAUGAGACUCUUAAUCUCAGGGUUUUGGGUUUGAGUCCCAAGUUGGGCAAAA
rnacentral:tRNA from 1 species